ACAGCAGUCGCCGCGGGAAUACGGAGGGUGCAAGCGUUAAUCGGAAUUACUGGGCGUAAAGCGCACGCAGGCGGUCUGACAAGUCAGAUGUGAAAUCCCCGGGCUUAACCUGGGAACUGCAUUUGAAACUGUCAGGCUGGAGUCUUGUAGAGGGGGGUGGAAUUCCAGGUGUAGCGGUGAAAUGCGUAGAGAUCUGGAGGAAUACCGGUGGCGAAGGCGGCCCCCUGGACAAAGACUGACGCUCAGGUGCGAAAGCGUGGGGAGCAAACAGGAUUAGAUACCCGCGUAGUCCCUGUCUCUUAUAC
rnacentral:rRNA from 1 species